rnacentral:rRNA from 1 species
CCUGCCUGCCCAGUGAAACUUUUAACGGCCGCGGUAUCCUAACCGUGCAAAGGUAGCGUAAUCACUUGUCUUCUAAAUAAAGACUCGUAUGAACGGCUAAAUGAGGACCUAACUGUCUCUUACGACCAAUUAAUGAAACUGAUCUUUCAGUCCAAAAGCUGAAAUAUAAACAUAAGACGAGAAGACCCUGUGGAGCUUUAACCAAGAUACUAUACCCACCACAUAUAUCUACACCUGUAAUAGUACCUCGUUUAAGUUGGGGCAACUAUGGAAAAAGAAAAACUUCCACAUUACCCUAGGGCAAACCCCCUACCCCCCAGACCCACCUGUCAAACACUAAGCACAUCGACCCAGUCCCACUGAUCAAUGAACCAAGUUACCCCAGGGAUAACAGCGCAAUCCCCUUUCAGAGUCCCUAUCGCCAAGGGGGCUUACGACCUCGAUGUUGGAUCAGGACACCCAAAUAGUGCAACAGCUAUUAAUGGUUCGUUUGUUCAACGAUUAACAGUCCUACGUGAUCUGA